UAGCUCAAUGGUAGAGCAAUUGGCUGUAGUCCAAUAGAUCACCAACUCGAUCUUGGU
rfam:Selaginella moellendorffii unplaced genomic scaffold SELMOscaffold_5, whole genome shotgun sequence.